rnacentral:rRNA from 1 species
AACGAACGCUGGCGGCAGGCCUAACACAUGCAAGUCGAGCGAGGACUUCGGUCCUAGCGGCGGACGGGUGAGUAACGCGUGGGAACGUGCCCUUUGCUUCGGAAUAGCCCUGGGAAACUAGGAGUAAUACCGGAUGAGCCCUUUGGGGGAAAGAUUUAUCGGCGAAGGAUCGGCCCGCGUUGGAUUAGGUAGUUGGUGGGGUAAUGGCCUACCAAGCCGACGAUCCAUAGCUGGUUUGAGAGGAUGAUCAGCCACACUGGGACUGAGACACGGCCCAGACUCCUACGGGAGGCAGCAGUGGGGAAUCUUAGACAAUGGGGGAAACCCUGAUCUAGCCAUGCCGCGUGAGCGAUGAAGGCCUUAGGGUUGUAAAGCUCUUUCAGCUGGGAAGAUAAUGACGGUACCAGCAGAAGAAGCCCCGGCUAACUCCGUG